CCUAAUGUUACUCUCGCUCGACUCCUUCAUUCUGAACUCACCCCAAACAGAUCUCCUCCCAAACUCGACCUCCAUUCUCAACCCGACCCCAAACUUGACCUCCUCCUCCAUUCUCUAGCUCAGACCCGGACCCAGCCUCCUCCGCCUUUCUCCGCAUCCGCCUCCGUCUCCGACCCCAACCCUAAACCCCUCCUCCUUUCUCCUUCUUCGUCUCAGAAACAAUGAACGUGAAGAACACCCCCACAGAGACCACUGGCGAGUCUCGAUUCUUGGGAACCAUCUCCGCCUCAUCGAUUCGAAACCUCCACCCCAGAUCCAUCUCAACCAAGCACGGAAAAUCCUUCUUCAGCCCCAAAAUUGCCGCACCAAAUGCCGAAAAAGCCCCUUUCACCUAACCCUUACAUCCAAGCUGACCACGAUUCAGCUUUCGCUACCAAGCCGCUACCAGUACCGUUCGAUUUGCCCAAAUCUCCGACCUCUGCCGCUCAGAACAUUCCGGUGAAGGUUUGUUCCGUACUUCAUUCAGCCUGGAUGUUGAUGUUGCAUGAUGAAGACUUGAAAGGAUUACUAAUUCAAAGAACACAGUCAUAGGUUGUGGACUGUUUGGUACAGUUUUUCAUGAUUGAUCUCUGUCGAGUUGUUGGGUUGUGCGAGUUGUUUGAAGAUCUCACUAUUAAUAUUGAGGAUAACCUACAAAUGGAAAUGAAGUGCACAAGCCAUUCGUGUCAAAUGGUAACAAAUGUUGAUGAUGGGCCUGGAGAGAAGAAGAUGCUCAAGGAGAGCUAUUCUUAAUCAAUG